GGCUUCCGUUGGUUUCGGGGUAUGAUUCUCGCUUAGGGUGCGAGAGGUCCGGGGUUCAUUCCCGGAUGAGCCC